UACGAAGGGGGCUAGCGUUGUUCGGAAUCACUGGCCGUAAAGCGCACGUAGGCGGAUUUGUAAGUCAGGGGUGAAAUCCCGGGGCCCAACCCCGGAACUGCCUUUGAUACUGCGAAUCUCGAGUCCGAUAGAGGUGGGUGGAAUUCCUAGUGUAGAGGUGAAAUUCGUAGAUAUUAGGAAGAACACCGGUGGCGAAGGCGGCCCACUGGAUCGGUACUGACGCUGAGGUGGGAAAGCGUGGGGAGCAAACAGG
rnacentral:rRNA from 1 species